rnacentral:rRNA from 1 species
UACGUAGGUGGCAAGCGUUGUCCGGAUUUACUGGGCGUAAAGAGCGCGCAGGCGGUCGAAUAAGUCGAAUGUGAAAGCCCCCGGCUCAACUGGGGAGGGUCAUUCGAUACUGCUCGACUUGAAGGCAGGAGAGGGUAGUGGAAUUUCCGGUGUAGCGGUGAAAUGCGUAGAUAUCGGAAGGAACACCAGUGGCGAAAGCGGCUUCCUGGUCCAGCACCGACGUUCAGGCACGAAAGCGUGGGGAGCAAACAGG